rnacentral:lncRNA from 1 species
UGAGGGCUGAUCUUUGGUAGAUCUGAAGUUUGUAAACUUGUAUUGACACUCUAUUGUUGGUUUCUAGUGGAUUAGAGCGUUAAUCACUUCGGUGGAAGCUCAACGUGGUGACGUAGCCCAUUCUUGGGUGAACAUCCGGGCCUACGGGCGAAAAAUCAUCGUGUUCUUUUAAUUUCUGUGAUUUUAUUUCGAGUAUUGGGACUGUUAAU